rnacentral:misc_RNA from 1 species
AACGCAAGUUGCGCCCGAAGCCAUUAGGCCCAGGGCACGUCUGCCUGGGUGUCACGCAUCGUGUUGCCCCUGACCAAACAUCUCCUCGAGAGAUUUAUUUGUUCAGGGGCGGAAAUUGGCCUCCCGUGCCUUUUGUGUGCGGUUGGCUCAAAAAUGAGUCUCUGGUGACGGGCAUCACGACAUCGGUGGUUGUAAGAAGACCUUCUUGUGUCGUUGUGUAUACCCGCCGCAGUAGGGAACUCGAGGGCCCUUGGGCACAGCAAAAAUUGUGUGCACUUCGAUUGUGACCCCAGGUCAGGCGGGACUACCCGCUGAGUUUAA